AAUAGAUACCCGGGUAGUCCACGCCGUAAACGUUGGAUACUAGGUGUGGCGGUUAUACCAAUGACUGCCGUGCCGAAGCUAACGCAUUAAGUAUCCCGCCUGGGGAGUACGGCCGCAAGGCUAAAACUCAAAGGAAUUGACGGGUCCCCGCACAAGCGGCGGAGCAUGCGGCUUAAUUCGAUGCAACCCGAAGAACCUUACCUGGGUUUGACAUCACGGGAAAAGCUGUAGAAAUACAGUGUCCAUUAGGGCCCGUGACAGGUGGUGCAUGGCUGUCGUCAGCUCGUGUCGUGAGAUGUUGGGUUAAGUCCCGCAACGAGCGCAACCCUUGUCCUAUGUUGCCAGCGGUUCGGCCGGGGACUCAUAGGAGACUGCCGGGGAUAACUCGGAGGAAGGUGAGGACGACGUCAAGUCAUCAUGCCCCUUAUAUCCAGGGCUGCACGCAUGCUACAAUGGCCGGUACAACGGGCAGCGACCCCGCGAGGGUGAGCGAAUCCUAAAAAGCCGGUCCUAGUUCGGAUUGAAGUCUGCAACUCGA
rnacentral:rRNA from 1 species